rnacentral:rRNA from 1 species
GUCCCAGUUCAGAUCGCAGUCUGCAACCCGACUGCGUGAAGUCGGAAUCGCUAGUAAUCGCGGAUCAGCAUGCCGCGGUGAAUACGUUCCCGGGCCUUGUACACACCGCCCGUCACACCAUGGGAGUCGGUAACACCCAAAGUUGGUAGUCUAACCGCAAGGAGGACGCCGCCUAAGGUGGGAUUGAUGACUGGGGUGAAGUCGUAACAAGGUAGC